GCUGACCACAUGGUAACAUACUUAGAAUUGCAGUACUAUAGUAUCUGUUCAAUUCAAUUAUUUCCAUAGCUGAUAACUUCUUUUGGCAGGUGGGUAAUGUAUAUUUCCAUCAGCUGCACAUGGUAUUCUUCCAUCUGUGUUAACCAACUUUAGACAAUUUUAUUUGUUUUUUCUUACAAAGAGAAUGCUGAUGGAGAUAUUUAACUGUUACAUAUUCAGCACUACCGCCACUCCUGGAACGAGAGUGCAGUGCUGGAUAAUCAAAGAAAUAAACUCAAGAAGCUAGUACUUACAAAGUAUUAAUAGACCAAACGCUGUAGUUUGGCUUCAGAAAACAAGCUCAAAACAAGAGAAAUCUCUGCCUUAUUUAUGAAAGUGGGGAUCGUUGCUCUUCUAUUCCAAAUCCUUAACACAUAUUCCUUCUUUCUCAUUUUCCUUGUUUUCCUUGUUUCUUGCUUAUAUCAAGCCUUUGAGCCCCUCAGAAAUGGAGAUUUGUAUCCCUUGACAAGGAGCAGUCUGGCCAUGGAGGUCUUAAUCUUUCAAUAUGAUGCAGCCCUUAUGCAAAUCCACUUGUGGAAAUGCCAUACCUGUAAUUUUGAAACAAAAAAUAUCUCACAAGCCCUUCUUUUGGGGUGAGAAAUAUAUGUUACCUUGUGAAAAAAGCAGAGAAGAAAUGGUGGAGUAGGCUGUUAAAGCAGGAAGGGAAGCCUCCUGUGUUUUUGAAAGUAGACUGGGACAAAUGGGUCGAUGAAGAUGAAGAGCAAGAACACAAAUCGAGCAGUCUCAAAGAGUAAGAUUUUCUGAGGCAGUGGUAGUUACCAAUGCCAGUAGUAGAAUAAUCUUUGUGGCACUUCUCAUUACAUGGUUUGGUCUUUUUUCCUGACAACCAACUCGUGCUAGAGAGAUUCAAAGGAACUAUGUCCUUGUACAUGCAGCAACACAUAUAGGAGAUCCAUUGUUCAUCUCUUGCAUUGUGCAGUAGAUGGCUGUAUCUCAAAAGAUGAUACCCAUCAGAUGGUAGCCAUACCUGAUGCAAGCAUUCUGACGAAUGAUGUGAAUGGUCAUGUCAUGUUGUAUUGCUUCAAAAACUUUAAGGAAUAUACUAAGAGGGUUGUCACACAAGUUCUGUAUAUCUCUUACAAUCCAACACAGGCUUGGAUAGAAGGUGUGCAAUAUCUAAGCUCUCCAUCAGGUGGUUCCACACUUCUUGAUGCCACGGUCCAAAAAUCAGGUAAGUCCACUCCAUGUAAGGAUCACCAAAAGCAAGGGCCCCACACCCUUGGCUUAUUAUUUUUAUUUUUAUUUUUCUUACCAAUCUUCAUUGCUUCAAUAUAACGAACGGUUUCCAUAAUGUUUGACUUGUAUUAUGUAUUUAUCUUUGGUUGUAAGAUGCUUAUUCAAAGUGAAGUAACUAUAUAGAGUGUAGGCUCAGGGGUCCACAAUGCUUACAUGGAUGCAUGAUCAAAGCUGCUCAUCAGGUGAAGCAUUGGUAAUAGAGGGGGGCUUUGCUGCUUCAUAUGGGGAUGGAUAUGGACUUUAUUUGGGUGGUGCUGACAAAGGUCCUUUAUAUGGCAUGAGUUCUGGUUCUUGGGGUGCAUUUGAGAAGUCUUGCCUCGGGCAUCGCUGAAGUCCGUUGAUUAUUUUUUUUUCCUUCUGCUUUUCCUUGUGUCUCAAUUUGUAAAUUUUUUGUCCAUUAUGUAGCCUUUCAUUCUCACGUCUCUUGUAAAUGAGGUUGGUUGUAAAUGAUUUACAGGUUAUGUUUGAAUGCUAAUUUAAG